UGCAGUCGAGCGAAGAGAUGGGAGCUUGCUCCCUGAUCUUAGCGGCGGACGGGUGAGUAACACGUGGGCAACCUGCCCUGCAGACUGGGAUAACUCCGGGAAACCGGAGCUAAUACCGGGUAAUACAUCGCACCGCAUGGUGCAAUGUUGAAAGUUGGCUUUCGAGCUAACACUGCAGGAUGGGCCCGCGGCGCAUUAGCUAGUUGGUAAGGUAAUGGCUUACCAAGGCGACGAUGCGUAGCCGACCUGAGAGGGUGAUCGGCCACACUGGGACUGAGACACGGCCCAGACUCCUACGGGAGGCAGCAGUAGGGAAUCUUCCGCAAUGGACGAAAGUCUGACGGAGCAACGCCGCGUGAGUGACGAAGGCCUUCGGGUCGUAAAGCUCUGUUGUUAGGGAAGAACAAGUACCGUUCGAAUAGGGCGGUACCUUGACGGUACCUAACCAGAAAGCCACGGCUAACUACGUGCCAGCAGCCGCGGUAAUACGUAGGUGGCAAGCGUUGUCCGGAAUUAUUGGGCGUAAAGCGCGCGCAGGCGGUCUUUUAAGUCUGAUGUGAAAGCCCACGGCUCAACCGUGGAGGGUCAUUGGAAACUGGAGGACUUGAGUGCAGAAGAGGAGAGUGGAAUUCCACGUGUAGCGGUGAAAUGCGUAGAUAUGUGGAGGAACACCAGUGGCGAAGGCGGCUCUCUGGUCUGUAACUGACGCUGAGGCG
rnacentral:rRNA from 2 species